rnacentral:rRNA from 1 species
CUGGUUGAUCCUGCCAGUAGUCAUAUGCUUGUCUUAAAGAUUAAGCCAUGCAUGUCUAAGUUUAAAUAGAAACAGUGAAACUGCGAAUGGCUCAUUAAAACAGUUAUAGUUUAUUUGAUGAUCUUUACUACAUGGAUAACUGUGGUAAUUCUAGAGCUAAUACAUGCUGUACGGCCCAACUUUUAGGAAGGGUUGCAUUUAUUAGUUAUAAGCCAACACUUCGGUGUUGUGGUGAUUCAUAAUAACUAAGCGGACCUAGGCUCAGCCUAGGCGGAUCAUUUAAGUUUCUGCCCUAUCAGCU